GCCAGAUGUGGUGGUGCACGCCUAUAAUUCCAGCAGCUCGGGAGGCUGAGGCAGGAGGAUUGCAAGUUCAAAGCCAGCCUCAGCAACUUAGCAAGACCCUGUCUCAA
rnacentral:sRNA from 1 species